GACGAACGCUGGCGGCGUGCUUAACACAUGCAAGUCGAGCGGAAAGGCCACUUCGGUGGUACUCGAGCGGCGAACGGGUGAGUAACACGUGAGUAAUCUGCCCCUGGCUUUGGGAUAGCCACCGGAAACGGUGAUUAAUACCGGAUACGACCACUUCUCGCAUGGGAUGGUGGUGGAAAGUUUUUUCGGCCAGGGAUGUGCUCGCGGCCUAUCAGCUUGAUGGUGAGGUAAUGGCUCACCAUGGCUUCGACGGGUAGCCGGCCUGAGAGGGUGACCGGUCACACUGGGACUGAGACACGGCCCAGACUCCUACGGGAGGCAGCAGAGGGGAAUAUUGGACAAUGGGCGGAAGCCUGAUCCAGCGACGCCGCGUGAGGGAUGACGGCCUUCGGGUUGUAAACCUCUUUCAGCAGGGACGAAGCGCAAGUGACGGUACCUACAGAAGAAGCACCGGCCAACUACGUGCCAGCCGCCGCGGUAA
rnacentral:rRNA from 1 species